GGCAAAAUAUAGACAAACAGUUUAUCUGGAAAAAUACUCAAACAGCAAUAAUAUAUGAACAAUGCCUAGUUUUGCUUGUAUUUCGACAUUUAGACUUUAAUUUGCUUCAUUUCAGAGUUUAGUGAGGAUAAUAGCUCCUAUAAACUGUGAAGGAUCACAACUCUGUACAGGAAAGUAUCCUUACAAGGUUAUUCACUAGAAAGUGAAUUGCCACAAAUUCAAAGGGAAUUUCAAAUGUACGGCCAAAGUAGCCAAACUGGACACAUUCUCAGUCAGCUAUGCUCUCGGUUCUGCUUCUUUGGCCUUACAUUUGUAAUUCCCUUUAAAUUCCUGACCUUUCUCAAUUUAGUGAAUAACGCUUCCAGUAUCACAAUCCUGGUACCAAGCUCUGGAG